rnacentral:rRNA from 1 species
AGAAUGAACGCUGGCGGCGUGCUUUACACAUGCAAGUCGAGCGAGGCGUGUAGCAAUACACAGUCGAGCGGCGAACGGGUGAGUAACGCGUGGGUAUCUACCCUCAGGUGGGGGAUAACCCGGGGAAACUCGGGCUAAUACCGCAUGAUAUUGAGAGAUCAAAGGGGGCCGCAAGGCCCUCGCCACGAGGAGGAGCCGCCGUCCGACGUAGUCGUAGUUGGUUAGGGUAAGUAGGCCGUACCCAACGGACGGACGGAUCGGUUAGGCCGGCCCGUCGAGAGGGUGGAUCGGCCGACACUGGAACGUACGAGACACGGUCCAGACUCCUACGGGAGGCGAGCAGUAGGGAGUUUAGUCGC